UACGGGGGGGGCAAGCGUUGUUCGGAAUUACUGGGCGUAAAGGGCGCGUAGGCGGCCUUCUAAGUCGGACGUGAAAUCCCUCGGCUCAACCGAGGAACUGCGUCCGAUACUGAAAGGCUUGAAUCCGGGAGAGGGAUGUGGAAUUCCUGGUGUAGCGGUGAAAUGCGCAGAUAUCAGGAAGAACACCCGUGGCGAAGGCGGUUCUCUGGGACGGUACUGACGCUGAGACGCGAAAGCGUGGGGAGCGAACAGG
rnacentral:rRNA from 1 species